AUCUUGUGAUCCAAUCCAACCAAAUAUCAUUCCACUGACCGGCUUCCUGCCUAUAAAUAGUGUUGCCUCCCCAGCCGUAUGGGCACUAGAAACCCCUUAAGCUGCUAGUCUCUUCUUCUCUGCUCUUCCUACCUUCCUCUAGCUAUAGCAACACCUUGCCCACAUUCCAUGUCUCCCACGGGUGCUUCCGCUCUCAAGGUUGCGGCUAUCGCCGUCUGCCUCGGGCUGGUUCUAUCGUCCAUGAGGCAGCCAGUGUUCGCGCAAACCCAGUCCCAGCAGCAAGCUUGCACCACAACUUGCGCCAGCGCGUGCAAUAUUGUGGCGAAGGCAGCCUGCCCCGGCUUCUGCGCAGGCAACCCAACUCCCACUAAUCCGCUAGCUUGCAACGCCUGCAACACGACGGCCAAUGCAGAUUGCAACAAUCAGUGCGCCCCAGCCUGCUUCCUCAACCCAGAUCCCAACGCUUAAUGUUCAUCAUCCAUGUUCGUGCUGUUGCUUAAGAGCUAAUGUUUACUGAAUAAUUAAGCAUGCCGACUGGACUGCAUGUAUGUUGUGUUGCUUUCUAUUCUAUUUCCCUUGCAAAUGAUGUAAAGCCGUCGGCCUACUGGCUGGCUGGACUCAUGUAGAAAAUCGCUCCAUGUGAUUGGUGUUCCUUGGGCUUUGUUGAAUUGAAAUCAUGUUGCUAUGUGUUUCAGUAUUAACUUAUCAGCAUCCAUCUCUGUCAAUCUCGAUCACCAUGUUGUGAAAAAGAAGAUUUCCCUCUGCAAAUCUGUGCACACCACAUAAUAUAUAUAUAUAUAUAUAUAUAUAUAUAUAUAUAUAUAUUGUUCAUCUUGUUCUAUUAUUUCAUCUUGUUCAGGUCAAUCCAGUAAACUGUACAGUUUGUUACUAUGUUCAAUCGUGUUAUGUGACUAUCAGAAUUAGAAAACAAGCUUCCGAUCAUAUGGAGACAAUUAAAUAUUCCAAGCGAUACAAGCUGCCACUGAUCCAACCCAGAAAUACCAUAUUAGGCUUGGUCAUAUAUAUGGCGAUCGAGGUAGAUGAAAAAACGACCCAAGAUUCGAUCAGUCAUAUAGAUGCAAGCUUGCUACUGCAAGCAUUAAUACGAAACAGACUGAAAACUUAUUUAACGGACACUUGAUCUUGUUUUCUUUUCUUUUCCUUUUUCCCUAUACUAUCCUUUAUUCUGUUCUUUAUUCUUCUUCUAAUACCUCUCUAAGUAUUUUUGUCAUGUAUGUAAUCAAUAUCUUUUAAUAAGUAGCAUUCAUCAUUGUUCUUUUAAACGAGUACAUGAUGUUUGUUUUUUCAAUCCUUUUUUAAUACUCUAUUUCAUUUGGUUUUUCCCACGUUACCUAUCCAAUAUUUCUACUUUUUUCUUUUAUUUGGUAUUUCAUAAUUUCUUGACUUAUCCGCUUAUUUCACUUAUUUAUUUAUCUAUUUAUUUACUUAAUUUUAUUCUUGCCUUACUUUAUAUAUUGAAUGUAUCCCUUUAUUUUUUUAAUGUAUUGUAAUAUUUAAGUUGUUCUAUGUUUAAAAUUUUUCCAGCUGCACAAUUCUACAAUUUUGUUCAAAGUGUAUAAUUUUUUAUUCCAUAAUUUCAUCUAAUUUAAUUAAUUCCUUCUCUACAAAUCUUUGUUUCUUGAGUUCACUAUUUUGUUCCAGGUGUAUAAAUGUAUGUUCUGUGUAUAAAUGUACAUUCUGUAAGUCCAUAUAAUUUGUUUCAAUAUACAAAUCUAUGUUUUAUGAGUUCACAUAUCUGUGUAUAAAUGUACAUUUUGUGAGUCCGUAUAAUUUGUUUCGAUAUACAAAUCUAUGUUUUAUGAGUUCACGUAAAUUGUUCCAUAUGUAUAAAUCUUUAUUCUUCAUAUAAUUCGUUCUUGGAGUACAUACCCUAGUUUUGUGAUAUAUGAAAGAAAAUGGAAUGUUACGGAUCAUCACAGUAUACAAACCGAGAGUACGUCUGAAGCUAAGUCCGCAUGAUCGGUAGAAAUCCUUGAAUGAGGUGUGAUCCCCGAUUCUGUAAAUUUUAGCUUACGGCAUUCAUGAGAAGGUCAGAAGUGCUGCAGUCCUAGUUUGGACUUCUGGAUGGAAGCUUCCAUUAUUAUGAUGCUUCUUUCCAAGCAAAUAUUGAUACUUAUCUAGAUCUAAAAAAAAAGAUACUAAUCUAUGGUUUUCACAAGUUGACUGCACACUUUUCACAAGGUUUUUGAAUUUGACCGUUGGCAAAUUUGGUUUGUUUCUAAUCUUCUCCCUAAUUUCUUUUGAUUUGCACUCUUAAACACUAGGAUGUCACAGUGUCGCUCGGUUGCGCACUUCGUUGCAUUAUACGACUACUUCAUCGACGUCGAUCGGAUCGACCACUCACGCUUCAUUAAGACUUCCGCUGCGAUGCGAGACGAGCAAAGGUAUAAUCUAUGAUCAUCUUCUCGCAAGUGAUCUUGUUUACGCAGUUAUAUUUUUGUGUGCUAGCGAGUAGCAUACUAAGUUUUCUAACAGAUACUACCUCAUGAAAGCCGUCCAUUUGAGGCCAAAAGGAUUCGAAAUGGAACCUUCCUUUCCCCAGCAAUAAGUCAUUCAGCCCCAAAAUGAGUACUCCAAUUGGCAUCGGUAGAGCCUAUGUACUCCAAUUCAGAAGUCAAGCAGUCACUACCUGCUCCAUUCUGUUCUCUCGGAUUAGUUACUGCAAUGCAAAAGGAUUCAGCAAAGCGAGACUUGACUUUUUCUUUACUAAUGCACCUUCUAAUUUUGCCAGAAAAAAUUAACGACAGAAGCAAUGGGGAUGUGGCUGAUGACCAAUACCAUUGUUACAAGGUAGGGAUUUUGUUACUCUAGUUCGCUGUGAUACCUUUGAAGAAAUUUUGAGCUAGCACUGCCGUAAGUUAUACAUGUGCUUGCGGUUCUUCUAAAUAUCCAACGAAAUUAAUGAAUAAAUUUGUGGUCAUUAUUACUGAAUCAAAGGGACUGGCCAAAAACUGCAGGAAGAUGUGAACAUCAUGAAGGAUAUUGGAAUGGAUGCGUACAGGUUCUCCAUCUCAUGGACAAGUAUUCUUCCAAGUACUUGAAAUAUCUUCAGAAUGGAUACAAUUGCAACGUCCUCAAAGCCGUGUUCUCUUUUCUGUAUUAUCAAGUAGAAAAUUUUCAUUCUUGAUUCAUGGUUAACAAUAUGAAUGGUCAUUCUACCAAAAUUCGCAGAAUUUUCUUAUUAUAAGCCAACAUACUCCCUCUUUGUUUUUAAAUAUCUGAUGUUAAAGACAUGCUAGAUAGUUCAUAACAUCAUAUAUUUAAGUCUGAUUGGAUGACAGAUGCAAGUUUGAGUGGUGGAGUUAACAGGGAAGGAGUCAAUUAUUACAACAAUUUGAUUAAUGAGCUCUUGUCCAAAGGUAGGUAUUUCAAAUCUUCAGUAUAAUAUAUAUUGAUUCUUUUGCUUUGCAAUAGUUUCAAAGUUGAAUGGAGCACUACAUGUUCAUUGUUAUUCAAGGGGCAUUAUUAUCCACUAGAGAAAUAUUUAUUUGUUUGCAGGUUUGCAGCCAUUUGUGACUAUUUCCACUGGGACUCAUCUCAGGCAUUAGAAGACAAAUACAAAGGGUUUCUUAGUCCUAAUAUAGUGUAAGUCAACUACAUUCAGUUUAGUCCUAAUUUUUUCCUCAAAACUGACGUUAUAAUAACGUGCAUUACUAUACUACUCUGUGAACUAAACGGACUAACAAACAGUAGUCGAGUAUGACAUGACAAUUUCUAUUUUGACUCUGAUGGAGUUGACGAUGUGGGGCAGUAAAUAAAAUAGGUCUAGUACUGGUACGACGCCUUAUUUAUUUGGACCAAACGUCUUAGUUUCUUUCUUUUUUGCAUGCAUCUCUCUCUAUAUAUUCUGUACAUGUUACAUGAAGAAAUAAUCUUGUGAUCCAAUCUGACCAAAUAUCAUUCCACUGACCGGCUUCCUACCUAUAAAUAGUGUUGCCUCCCCAGCCGUAUAGGCACCACAAACCCCUUAAGCUGCUAGUCUCGUCUUCUCUGCUCUUCCUACCUUCCUCUAGCUAUAGCAACACCUUGCCCACAUUCGAUGUCUCCCACGGGUGCUUCCGCUCUCAAGGUUGCGGCUAUCGCCGUCUGCCUCGGGCUGGUUCUGUUGUCCAUGAGGCAGCCAGUGUUCGCGCAAACCCAGUCCCAGCAGCAAGCUUGCACCACAACUUGCGCCAGCGCGUGCAAUAUUGUGGCGAAGGCAGCCUGCCCCGGCUUCUGCGCAGGCAACCCAACUCCCACUAAUCCGCUAGCUUGCAACGCCUGCAACACGACGGCCAAUGCAGAUUGCAACAAUCAGUGCGCCCCCGCCUGCUUCCUCAACCCAGAUCCCAACGCUUAAUGUUUAUCAUCCAUGUCCGUGCUGUUGCUUAAGAGCUAAUGUUUACUGAAUAAUUAAGCAUGCCGACUGGGCUGCAUGUAUGUUGUGUUGCUUUCUGUUCUAUUUCCCUUGCAAAUGAUGUAAAGCCGUCGGCGUACUGGCUGGCUGGCUCAUGUAGAAAAUCGCUUUAUGUGAUUGGUGUUCCUGGGCUUUGAUGAAUUGAAAUCAUAUUGCUAUGUGUUUCAGUAUUAA
rnacentral:lncRNA from 1 species